AACACAAUGACAUAGUUCUCUGGAUUAGGAUACAGGGAAGGAAGCAUCUAUUACAGACUUGGUUUAAAAAAGUCAGAAAAGAACCACUUGGGGAGACAAAAUUAAGUCACAGUGGAAGACAAAAGCCGGGGCAACAGGAUGAAUGCAGCAGAAAGAGGAGCUGACCAGAGAGGAGCCUGCCAUUAAAUCACACAGUCAGUACCUCCUGCCUGACUCCACCGCUCGUCUUUUCUCUGCAACUUAUUUGCCUGUGGCCUGACCUCCCGCUGGACCCUUCCUUACACCUCCAUCCCUGAUUAUACAACUAUGGAAUCCAUUCCUCUCAAGAUCAAGAGGACCAGCAGUCAGUCAACUCCCUGCUUCCUUAACAGGUACAA